CACACACACGCUGAAAAUUGAAGGGAGGGGAGGAAGAACACUCUCUCAACUUCUUUCUCUCACUUGAUCUUCAAACCACCAUAACUUUUGAUCUAGAGCUCCGAUCGCCGUUCCGUUUGCGGCCACGCGUUCACCGCGGAGAGCUCUACAAAACCCAUACAAUUAAUCUUGAGGACCCAACACUCUUGAAGGAGAAGGUUAAUCUUGUCUCCUUGGACCUUGGGUAUGGUUGUGUAUAUGUGUAUAUUGGAGCUUGAUUGGUGAUUUUGAAAAGCUUGGAAAGGGUUUGGUGGUGAAAAAUCUGUUCUUGGAGGUUUUGAGGCAUUGAGAGCUUGUGGAUAAGUGGUUUGGAAGUGCUCCGGUUGAGCUUGGGAAAUCGGCUAAGGUAUUUUCUGGCUGAAAUUGAGGAAGCUGAGCAGAAAUCUGACUUAGGCUGAAAAAGGACUGCUGAUGCUGUUGGAUCCUGACCUCCCUGCACUCGAAAUGGAUUUUCUGGAGCUACAGAAGUCCAAUUGGCGCGCUCUCAACGGCGUUGGAAAGUAGACAUCCAGGGCUUUCCAGCAAUAUAUAAUAGUCCAUACUUUGCACGAAGAUUGACGACGUAAC